AGAGCCAACAGGGAUUGCCCUAGUAACGGCGAGUGAAGCGGCAACAGCUCAAAUUUGAAAUCUGGCUCUUUUAGAGUCCGAGUUGUAAUUUGCAGAGGGCGCUUUGGCUUUGGCAGCGGUCCAAGUUCCUUGGAACAGGACGUCACAGAGGGUGAGAAUCCCGUACGUGGUCGCUGGCUAUUGCCGUGUAAAGCCCCUUCGACGAGUCGAGUUGUUUGGGAAUGCAGCUCUAAAUGGGAGGUACAUUUCUUCUAAAGCUAAAUAUUGGCCAGAGACCGAUAGCGCACAAGUAGAGUGAUCGAAAGAUGAAAAGCACUUUGGAAAGAGAGUCAAACAGCACGUGAAAUUGUUGAAAGGGAAGCGCUUGCAGCCAGACUUGCUUACAGUUGCUCAUCCGGGUUUCUACCCGGUGCACUCUUCUGUAGGCAGGCCAGCAUCAGUUUGGGCGGUAGGAUAAAGGUCUCUGUCACGUACCUCCUUUCGGGGAGGCCUUAUAGGGGAGACGACAUACUACCAGCCUGGACUGAGGUCCGCGCAUCUGCUAGGAUGCUGGCGUAAUGGCUGUAAGCGGCCCGUCUUGAAACACGGACCAAGGAGUCUAACAUCUAUGCGAGUGUUUGGGUGUCAAGCCCGAGCGCGUAAUGAAAGUGAACGGAGGUGGGAACCCGCAAGGGUGCACCAUCGACCGAUCCUGAUGUCUUCGGAAGGAUUUGAGUAAGAGCAUGGCUGUUGGGACCCGAAAGAUGGUGAACUAUGCUUGAAUAGGGUGAAGCCAGAGGAAACUCUGGUGGAGGCUCGCAGCGGUUCUGACGUGCAAAUCGAUCGUCAAAUUUGGGCAUAGGGGCGAAAGACUAAUCGAACUAUCUAGUAGCUGGUUCUGCACU
rnacentral:rRNA from 1 species